GCCACGCCCCCUAACAGACCGCGCCCCUCUUUUGGUCCCUGCCCACCUAUUGGAUGAGGCACCUUCCAUAAGCCCCGCCCACCGAGCAGGCCACGCCCCCUUUCAUUGCCCUCUAGCCAAUCAGAAAGGCGCAUUCAUGGCCACGCCCCCUCGAUCUGGCCACGCCCCUUUUCUAAGCACCGCCCUGCAAUCAUUUGAAGCCCUUUUCUAAGCCCCGCCCACCAAGCAGGCCACGCCCCCUUUCAGGCCAUCCAACCAAUCAGGUCUCGACCCCUUUACGCCACUCCCCUUCCGUAGCCACGCCCACUUUCCGGCUUCAUUUGGCCACGCCCCCUUUAAGCCACGCCCCCCUUAAAAGCCACGCCCUCAAUCAGACCACGCCCCCAUUUUAGACCCCGUCCACCAAUCGGUUGAGGCCAUUUCUCUAAGCCCCGCCCACCAACAAGGCCACGCCCACCUACGGCCAUCUGACCAAUCAGUGGGCGGGGCUUCGCGGCGGGGCGGGGCUUCCGAAGAACGGGGCGUGGUCUCCAUCGAAACGCACGUGGUCGCGGGUCACGUGGUCCAGCCCGGAUUGCGGGAGCUCUCGGCAGGAAGGGGCGUGGUCUCGACCGGAAGUGGCCUGCUCUCCACCGGAAGUGACGCAUCCUUUCCCCCGGCCCCGCCCCUUGUUGACCACCGCGUACGUCGCGUCCAUGGCGGGAGGCGGGGGGAGGGGCGGAGCGGGAACGGAAGUGCUCCUGAAAUGGGUGGGAGGGAGUUCCGGUUGCGGUGGGGAGCGACUUCCGGUUGGUGGUGGGUGGGGGGCGUGCGACUUCCGGUUGAGUGGAGUGGAAUGAAGGACUUCCCGGUGAUGUUUGAAAGGAAGGGGUGCGGGACUUCCGGUUCUGCUGGGAGACGACUUCCGGUUGUGAAGGGACGGGACUUCCGGUUGGGUGGGAGAGAAGGGCGGGGAAGGA
rnacentral:lncRNA from 1 species